GCUUACCAUGCAAGUCGAACGGGAUCCAUCAAGCUUGCUUGGUGGUGAGAGUGGCGAACGGGUGAGUAAUGCGUGACCGACCUGCCCCAUACACCGGAAUAGCUCCUGGAAACGGGUGGUAAUGCCGGAUGCUCCAGUUGAUCGCAUGGUCUUCUGGGAAAGCUUUCGCGGUAUGGGAUGGGGUCGCGUCCUAUCAGCUUGACGGCGGGGUAACGGCCCACCGUGGCUUCGACGGGUAGCCGGCCUGAGAGGGCGACCGGCCACAUUGGGACUGAGAUACGGCCCAGACUCCUACGGGAGGCAGCAGUGGGGAAUAUUGCACAAUGGGCGCAAGCCUGAUGCAGCGACGCCGCGUGAGGGAUGGAGGCCUUCGGGUUGUAAACCUCUUUUAUCGGGGAGCAAGCGAGAGUGAGUUUACCCGUUGAAUAAGCACCGGCU
rnacentral:rRNA from 1 species